AAAAAAGUCAAAAUAUCAUUUGUAGGCUAAUUCAAAAGUUUGGAUUUGUAGAAAAUGAAGAUUCUAACAAUGGGAACAUUGAUUUCUACAGAUAAGAAAUUCUAAGUUAUGGGUUAGAUUUUCUGUUAAAUCUAAAAUUUUAAACAGUUGCUAGGUUUAGUUAGUCUGAGAAAGAGAUAAGUUUUGGUGAGAAUAGUUGAAGUACAUAAACAAAUUGGAAGGGAAAAUGAAACACCAUAUGAGAAUUUGAAAUUUAGAAUUUUUUGGGAUGAAGCAUCUGAGAUCAUAGAUCUGGCUUGUUCAUUAUGUGGUGACAUUCACUGGGGCAUGGAUGGUCAAGCUUUUCUAUUUCUCUAGAUUUUGUGCUGUUUGAUUCAAUAUUUUUAAUAGAUUGCAUUUCUUUAGCAUUGAUCUAUGUUUGGAUAAGACAAAUGUGAUAAGGUUGAUAAAAUAUUGAAAAUAUUUUAUCAUUCUUGUUUAAUUCUUGAACAGGUCUAAUAACUUGUAUGAUUCAGUUUGGUCAUUCCUCAUCUUGCUUAAGGUUGAAAAUUUUUUUUUAUAACUUUAUAAACUUUGUAAACUUGUGAAAUACAAAUUAGAUUUUACUAUGAAGUAGCUGCCAUGUGGCAAUUUUAGGGCUAGGUCACGAUAUCUACUUCAGGUGGCGAUGGCAACUACUAGCAGCUCAAUUUUUUUCUAAAUGCUAAGCAUCAUUUAACCAUUUAAACAAAUUGGGCUUAUGUGCUAAAAGAGGAAUUCCUGGGUACCAAAAU
rnacentral:misc_RNA from 1 species